rnacentral:lncRNA from 1 species
CAGAGCGUCUUUCGCUGCUCACCAACGGCCAGCAGAGGGCGUCCGACUCGCGCCAGGACCAACCGGCACCUCCGUGGGGUCAUGGGUCCGGGCGAUGCGGCGACACUUCCCCGGCGGGAAGCCAGGCUUGGUUUGCCGCAGGUCCGGUUGCGCGUGGGGCCGCCGCUCAGGUUGCGAGACCCGCCGGGGCUGAGCAAACAAUGAGUUAAGGGCUGUCUUUCCCUGGUUCCCCUUUCUGCCAUGGGGGAGCCCCGUUGGACUGACGUCUCCCCAGACUCUUCUCUGAAAUGCUGAGCCCAAGGCCAUGGGCACAGGAGGAUCACGGAGGACUCUCCCACCCUGGAGGACAUCCGUUUGCACCAGGGACAGGAUUCUGCACGAUGUCAUCGAGACCGAGACCGUGUAAGGAAGACAAAGACACUCACUGGAGAGGGCUAGCCCAGCCCAAAACACCCCCAUGGGUGUGGUCUUCAUGCUCAAACAGAGGACCACGUACACGUAGAUGGAGCCCUGUACGCAGAAACAUCCUUGUCAUUCACCAGCAGGUAAAGCUGGUCAGCAUCUUGGUCAGUUGCCAGGUGCCAUUUGGAGGAAACCAAAAAGGGAACCAGAACUGGGCUCUGAAGUACCAGACCUCCAGGAAACUUCCUACGUACAAGCAGCUGAGAAGCACACAGUCCAUUGGACGCUGGGCUGCUACAGUCACCAAAAUGUUCUUCACAUACCAUUUGAUCACCAACUAUAGCAUGGGGAGACCUGCUGUGCAUCUGUCUUUGUGUCUGCACCAUCUGCUGUAGUACAAGGCAGGUAAUAAGUCCCCUUGAUCUGCAACAGCUCCUCAACCUUGGGCAAUUAAUGCCCCUGUGACUGGGAUAUGGGGAGUACACCCAUCCUUCCUCUGAUUAAGGCAGGUAACAAUCAGUGCUGGGCACUGUGCUAAGCUCUGGGGUUAUAAAGGUACAGGAAACAUACUUUUUAUCUCCUCAGAUCUCAAGGCCUGGAGGGAAAUACAGAAAUUUUAAGUAUACAGUUUUAAUGACAUUGGGUACAGAGGAAGGAUGCCGAAGUUCCACAUACUUGGGCCUCGGAACAACAACG